rfam:Brassica napus, WGS project CCCW01000000 data, contig: 26816
AGAAGUUAAGAAACUGUUUCUUAAUUUUUAACUAAAAAAGUUAAGAACCGGUUCUUAAAGUUCUUAUUUAAGAACCGGUUCUUAGCUUUUUUUAGUUAAAAGUUAAGAAACAGUUUCUUAACUUCU